GACGAACGCUGGCGGCGUGCCUAACACAUGCAAGUCGAGCGGAGCGGCGGACGGGUGAGUAACGCGUGAGCAACCUGCCUUUCACAGGGGGAUAACGCAUCGAAAGGUGCACUAAUACCGCAUGGUGAGAGAUGGGCUCGCGUCUGAUUAGCUAGUUGGUGAGGUAACGGCCCACCAAGGCGACGAUCAGUAGCCGACCUGAGAGGGUGAUCGGCCACAUUGGAACUGAGAGACGGUCCAAACUCCUACGGGAGGCAGCAGUGGGGAAUAUUGGGCAAUGGGGGAAACCCUGACCCAGCAACGCCGCGUGAAGGAAGAAGGUUUUCGGAUCGUAAACUUCUAUCCUUGGUGAAAUGGUAGCCAAGAAGGAAGCCCCGGCUAACUACGUGCCAGCAGCCGCGGUAAUACGUAGGGGGCAAGCGUUGUCCGGAAUGAUUGGGCGUAAAGGGCGCGUAGGCGGCCUGGUAAGUUUGGAGUGAAAGUCCUUCUUUUAAGGAGGGAACUGCUUUGAAAACUGUCGGGCUUGAGUGCAGGAGAGGUAAGCGGAAUUCCCGGUGUAGCGGUGAAAUGCGUAGAGAUCGGGAGGAACACCAGUGGCGAAGGCGGCUUACUGGACUGUUACUGACGCUGAGGCGCGAAAGUGUGGGGAGCAAACAG
rnacentral:rRNA from 1 species